AGAGUUUGAUCAUGGCUCAGGAUGAACGCUAGCGGCAGGCCUAAUACAUGCAAGUCGAACGGGUUUGAGUAGCAAUACUCAAAUCAGUGGCGCACGGGUGCGUAACGCGUAUGCAACCUACCUUAAACUGGGGGAUAGCCUUCCGAAAGGGAGAUUAAUACCGCAUAAUACUAUUUGAUGGCAUCUGAAGAUAGUUAAAGAUUUAUUGGUUUAAGAUGGGCAUGCGUGCCAUUAGCUAGUUGGUAGUGUAACGGACUACCAAGGCUACGAUGGCUAGGGGUUCUGAGAGGAUGAUCCCCCACACUGGCACUGAGAUACGGGCCAGACUCCUACGGGAGGCAGCAGUAGGGAAUAUUGGGCAAUGGACGAAAGUCUGACCCAGCCAUGCCGCGUGCAGGAAGAAGGCCUUCUGGGUUGUAAACUGCUUUUAUCUGGGAAGAAAAAACCUAUGCGUAGGGAACUGACGGUACCAGAUGAAUAAGCACCGGCUAACUCCGUGCCAGCAGCCGCGGUAAUACGGAGGGUGCAAGCGUUGUCCGGAUUUAUUGGGUUUAAAGGGUGCGUAGGCGGCCCGUUAAGUCAGUGGUGAAAGCCUCCAGCUCAACUGGAGAACUGCCAUUGAUACUGACGGGCUUGAGUACAGACGAGGUUGGCGGAAUUGAUUGUGUAGCGGUGAAAUGCAUAGAUACAAUCAAGAACACCGAUUGCGUAGGCAGCUAACUAGGCUGUAACUGACGCUGAGGCACGAAAGCGUGGGGAGCGAACAGGAUUAGAUACCCUAGUAGUCC
rnacentral:rRNA from 1 species